GWASUKGCKGSAGUUAAAGCUCGUAGUUGGAUUUCGGGUGGGGCCUGCCGGUCCGCCKUUUCGGUGUGCACUGGCWGGGCCCACCUUGUUGCCGGGRACGGGCUCCUGGGCUUCACUGUCCGGGACUCGGAGUCGGCGCUGUUACUUUGAGUAAAUUARAGUGUUCAAAGCAGGCCUACGCUCUGAAUACWUUASCAUGGAAUAACACGAUAGGACUCUGGCCUAUCCUGUUGGUCUGUAGGACCGGAGUAAUGAUUAAKAGGGACAGUCGGGGGCAUUCGUAUUUCAUWGUCAGAGGUGAAAUUCUUGGAUUUAUGAAAGACGAACUACUGCGAAAGCAUUUGCCAAGGAUGUUUUCAUUAAUCAAGAACGAAAGUUGGGGGCUCGAAGA
rnacentral:rRNA from 1 species